rnacentral:lncRNA from 1 species
AGCAAUAUUAGCAAUUCCAAGGACGCCUUUGAUCACUUCUGUCGUUCCCCAAAGGCCUCAAUAUAAGACAUCGUGCUUUCAGACCCGAGGAAGCAAAUUUUAUUUUAUUUUUUAUUUGUAGGAACUUGCCUUGAAUUCUGAGAGAGGAAAAUAAACCAAGCUAAUCAAGAAACUUGCUGAGGCACUAUGUAUGCAAACACAGACUGGUCUGCUGGAGCGGGAGAGACACGUGGGGCAGAUGGUCACCUGAGCAAGUGCAAAGGCCUGAAGAUCAAGAGGUCUGAUGCAUAUGAAGAGCAGUCUGGAGGCCAGACUGAGGGGAGAGUGAUUGCCUUUGUGUUCCUUGGUAUCAUUUUCAAGUUUGGUGAACAGCUGUCAUCUUCAAAACUUAUCAAGGAAUAAAAAUCAAAAUGCUGCACAAGGUUGAGCAGUUGGAUUGUGGCACCACUACCACCCUCCAUGGUCAAGUGUAACCCCUUCCUCUGCCAUCUCUUUGGCUGGGGAAGCCUCACCUUGCAUGUUCAUGGGUUAGCAGCAGAAGGUGGAAGAGAGUUUCUUAGUUUCUAUUUUUAUUCCCUCUGCUUCCCUCUUAGUAUAGCUUUCACCUUUAUGGACUGUGCUCACCAGGGACCUUGUACACAUUAAUCAUAGGGGAAAUCUCUUUAUGUGUAUGUGUAACUGCCAUAAAAGGAAUGAAUCAAAAUUCAACUCUGUGCCUAGUUUUGGUAGCAUGUGACUCAUUUUCAUGGCCCUAGAACUAAAACGUGGUAGUUAAAACAGUAAAGUGAUAUUUAUAGGGUAAUUUUGAUCAAACCUGUCAUAACUUUCAUUUCUGGGUAAGUCUGUAUGUCCUUUGUUACAGCUCUAAUUACACUGACAGGUUUUUCAGAGGGAAUGUUAGGGUAGAGGUUAUUUAAAUAUGAAACCAAAGGUUUGACAUCAUUUAAGAGGGAAUGAUUUUUAUUUCCUAACAUAUAUUUUAAUGUAACAUAAACUUACUGGAUUAUUUCUCUUUCCUGAAUACUCCCAUUAUUUUUAUUUUAUUUUAUCAUUUAUUUUAUCAUUGAGGCAGAAGGAGAAUGAAUGGUGUUAGUCUCCCUUCCUCCUACCCAGACAUGGAACAGCCUUAAACAGUAUUGCUCGGUUCAGAUAUGAACUGAUGGUACACUGUUUAUCUAGCUCCCUGAUGGUGUCCCUCAUGAAACUCUAUAGCUGCAGGGCUUUCUCAGGUUACAAAUUUAGCAGCGCUCCUUUGGUGACUUUCCUCUUUCCACAUCACUCCAGGGAUCUCUAUUAACUUAACACACUAAAAAUAACACCGAAGAACUGCUGAACAGGGAAGGAGACCAGUAGGGCUGGGGGAAGGCUCAAUAUUGCUCACAUUGAUCAGAAACCUGGACCC